rnacentral:rRNA from 1 species
AUACGGAGGAUCCAAGCGUUAUCCGGAUUUAUUGGGUUUAAAGGGUGCGUAGGCGGACUGGUAAGUCAGCUGUGAAAGUUUGCGGCUUAACCGUAAAAUUGCAGUUGAUACUGUCAGUCUUGAGUGUGCAUGAGGUGGGCGGAAUUUGUGGUGUAGCGGUGAAAUGCUUAGAUAUCACGAGGAACUCCAAUUGCGAAGGCAGCUCACUGGGGCAUAACUGACGCUGAUGCACGAAGGUGUGGGUAUCAAACAGGAUUAGAUACCCUGGUAGUCCACACAGUAAACUAUGAAUACUCGCUGUUUGCGAUAUACAGUAAGCGGCCAAGCGAAAGCAUUAAGUAUUCCACCUGGGGAGUACGCCGGCAACGGUGAAACUCAAAUGAAUUGGCGGGG